rnacentral:lncRNA from 10 species
GCCUGGACCCAGGAGGACGACGACGAGGAGAAAGCGAUGCGCGCGCGGCUCCCGGGAACCGGCUCUUGGCUAGCGAGGAGCCCCCGGGAUGGCUGAGAAGCAGAACCAACCCGCCCGCCGCCUCUCCAGGGUCAAGCGAAACUGGGUCGCAGGAAGAAAAAUAACGAAGAGAUUGUAGAUUAAGAAAAGGCAACAAAAACACUACCAGGCCGCUAGGAGGACCGCCUCAAAAUGCCGCCGGAAGUCAGAGGUUUGCCCUGUUCCUCUGUAGACCCAGGCAGCUUCCGGCCGUCAGAUUAGUCGUCAGUGCGCAGACACCACCCUUCGUGGACACGCCCUCUAGGCGUAAGGUUCCAUGCGAGCGGUAAGAGUGCGGCGGGACUUGGAAAUCGAAUCUGUGCUCUGUGAGAGAUCCUAGGAAAGGAAACUGGGAGCCCGGGAGAACUAAAAUUCCCAAUUAAAAGUGAAUUUAAAUCUGAGCUGUUCUUAGACCCAGAAUUUCUUGCCUGAAGGAGGAAUCAGGUCCCCACAAGGAAAGACCCUGCAACUGUAUAAAAAAAGAAUCUAAAAAGAUCAUGACUCCUUCAGUCCUUUCCCAAAGAGACCUAUGGAAAUUUCCUCAGGAAGAGGGACCAAGCAAAACCCCAGAAGAGUUGAUCUCAAAGCUUAUUUUAUGAAGAAAAUUGACCUGAGUGACACAAAGGGUUGGACUGUAGUAGAUGUCACGUUUUGCUGCCUAGAUCUCCAUCCAGGGAUGAACUCUUAUUUCCUCAGCUUCUUUGUCUCCUCAGCUUCUGGGAGGGUUGGCAGCUGAUAUUCUCACCUGAGUCCCUUUCUAGGACUUGCCCUUGCCUGAAGAGAGCUGUGCUGCCCAACAUGAUGCCUCCUCCAAGGGACCCUGAAAGCUGUGUCUAUGAAGUUAUUACAAGAUAUUGGCUACUGUGGUGCAUGGAGCUUCUAGGCCAGGGUGAUUCUCACACCUGCCUGAUGUGGAUCUUGUUGCUUCACACCUGAAACAUCAUUUGAGAAGCCCGGGAA